CCUACGGGAGGCAGCAGUGGGGAAUAUUGGACAAUGGGGGGAACCCUGAUCCAGCCAUGCCGCGUGUGUGAAGAAGGCCUUAUGGUUGUAAAGCACUUUAAGCGAGGAGGAGGCUACUGAGACUAAUACUCUUGGAUAGUGGACGUUACUCGCAGAAUAAGCACCGGCUAACUCUGUGCCAGCAGCCGCGGUAAUACAGAGGGUGCGAGCGUUAAUCGGAUUUACUGGGCGUAAAGCGUGCGUAGGCGGCUUUUUAAGUCGGAUGUGAAAUCCCCGAGCUUAACUUGGGAAUUGCAUUCGAUACUGGGAAGCUAGAGUAUGGGAGAGGAUGGUAGAAUUCCAGGUGUAGCGGUGAAAUGCGUAGAGAUCUGGAGGAAUACCGAUGGCGAAGGCAGCCAUCUGGCCUAAUACUGACGCUGAGGUACGAAAGCAUGGGGAGCAAACAGGAUUAGAUACCCUAGUAGUC
rnacentral:rRNA from 1 species